AGUAAAAUGGAAAAAAUAUUAAUACAACAAAUAUAGUUGUAGACAUUAAAAUUUUAAUGGAUCAACUAUAUAUGAAUUUUGGGCUAAAUCCGAGUCUAUUAGGAUUACUUGAAGGUUACUUUACUAAUAACGUACCUUGGGGGCUACCUAUUGUAACCCCUAUCCACUUUUAUAAAAAAAAAGGUUAAAUAUCCCAUCAAAAGAGAGAUCUCGAAAAUUGAGAUGCAUCUUAGUAAUUCCAUGAACUCUUGGAAUAUAACGAUCUCCAGAAUUUCAUAGAACUCUUGAAAUAUUCAUUAAUAAGAGAUCAAAAAUAUGUUAGAUAUGUCUUGCUUAAGGUUCCAACACAUUCAAGAUCCAAAUAAUGCUGCUUCAUACUUAUUGAUCAUCAAAUACCCCAAGGAGAUGCAUAUCAAUACACCGCUAAGGCCCUCGAAUUACGAAGGACAAAGCAGAGGAAAGAAUUAAUAUAUAGACAAAGUUAGUUGUAAUCCGCAAUAUUUAUUAUUUUUUUUAUAAUUGUUUGUGAUUGUAAUUUUAUUUUUGUGCGAAAAUUUGUCGCAAACAAUGGUAAAAAGCUAUGCUCGGAUAAAGCAUUAAGAGUAAUUCAUCUACUGGUGAUUCUUUACAAUGAGG
rnacentral:lncRNA from 1 species